rnacentral:rRNA from 1 species
AUUGAACGCUGGCGGAAUGCUUUACACAUGCAAGUCGGACGACAGCACGGGGCAACCUGGUGGCGAGUGGCGAACGGGUGAGUAAUACAUCGGAACGUGCCCAAUCGUGGGGGAUAACGUAGCGAAAGUUACGCUAAUACCGCAUACGAUCUACGGAUGAAAGCGGGGGAUCGCAAGACCUCGCGCGAAUGGAGCGGCCGAUGUCAGAUUAGGUAGUUGGUGGGGUAAAGGCUCACCAAGCCAACGAUCUGUAGCUGGUCUGAGAGGACGACCAGCCACACUGGAACUGAGACACGGUCCAGACUCCUACGGGAGGCAGCAGUGGGGAAUUUUGGACAAUGGGCGCAAGGCCUGAUCCAGCCAUUCCGCGUGCAGGAUGGAA